rnacentral:rRNA from 1 species
GGGUUAGUAACGCGUGGGAACGUACCCUUUUCUAUGGAAUAGCCUCGGGAAACUGAGAGUAAUACCAUAUACGCCGGGUAACCGGGAAAGAUUUAUCGGGGAAGGAUCGGCCCGCGUCUGAUUAGAUAGUUGGUGGGGUAAUGGCCUACCAAGUCUACGAUCAGUAGCUGGUUUUAGAGGAUGAUCAGCAACACUGGGACUGAGACACGGCCCAGACUCCUACGGGAGGCAGCAGUGGGGAAUCUUAGACAAUGGGCGCAAGCCUGAUCUAGCCAUGCCGCGUGAGUGAUGAAGGCCUUAGGGUCGUAAAGCUCUUUCGCCAGAGAUGAUAAUGACAGUAUCUGGUAAAGAAACCCCGGCUAACUCCGUGCCAGCAGCCGCGGUAAUACGGAGGGGGUUAGCGUUGUUCGGAAUUACUGGGCGUAAAGCGCACGUAGGCGGAUCAGAAAGUUGGGGGUGAAAUCCCGGGGCUCAACCCCGGA